UACGUAGGGAGCAAGCGUUGUUCGGAUUUACUGGGCGUAAAGGGCGCGUAGGCGGCGCGGUAAGUCACUUGUGAAAUCUCUGAGCUUAACUCAGAACGGCCAAAGUGAUACUGCAGUGCUAGAGUGCAGAAGGGCAAUCGGAAUUCUUGGUGUAGCGGUGAAAUGCGUAGAUAUCAAGAGGAACACCUGAGGUGAAGACGGGUUGCUAGGCUGACACUGACGCUGAGGCGCGAAAGCUAGGGGAGCAAACGGG
rnacentral:rRNA from 1 species